rnacentral:rRNA from 1 species
UACGUAGGGUGCAAGCGUUAUCCGGAAUUAUUGGGCGUAAAGCGCGUGUAGGCGGUCCGGUAAGUCCGCUGUGAAAGUCGGGGGCUCAACCCUCGGAUGCCGGUGGAUACUGUCGGGCUUGAGUACGGAAGAGGCGAGUGGAAUUCCUGGUGUAGCGGUGAAAUACGCAGAUAUCAGGAGGAACACCAAUUGCGAAGGCAGCUCGCUGGGACGUUACUGACGCUGAGACGCGAAAGCGUGGGGAGCAAACAGG